AGACCCGAAACCCGGUGAUCUAGCCAUGGGCAGGUUGAAGGUUGGGUAACACUAACUGGAGGACCGAACCGACUAAUGUUGAAAAAUUAGCGGAUGACCUGUGGCUGGGGGUGAAAGGCCAAUCAAACCGGGAGAUAGCUGGUUCUCCCCGAAAGCUAUUUAGGUAGCGCCUCGUGAAUUCAUCUCCGGGGGUAGAGCACUGUUUCGGCUAGGGGGCCAUCCCGGCUUACCAACCCGAUGCAAACUGCGAAUACCGGAGAAUGUUAUCACGGGAGACACACGGCGGGUGCUAACGUCCGUCGUGAAGAGGGAAACAACCCAGACCGCCAGCUAAGGUCCCAAAGUCAUGGUUAAGUGGGAAACGAUGUGGGAAGGCCCAGACAGCCAGGAUGUUGGCUUAGAAGCAGCCAUCAUUUAAAGAAAGCGUAAUAGCUCACUGGUCGAGUCGGCCUGCGCGGAAGAUGUAACGGGGCUAAACCAUGCACCGAAGCUGCGGCAGCGACACUGUGUGUUGUUGGGUAGGGGAGCGUUCUGUAAGCCUGUGAAGGUGUGUCGUGAGGCAUGCUGGAGGUAUCAGAAGUGCGAAUGCUGACAUAAGUAACGAUAAAGCGGGUGAAAAGCCCGCUCGCCGGAAGACCAAGGGUUCCUGUCCAACGUUAAUCGGGGCAGGGUGAGUCGACCCCUAAGGCGAGGCCGAAAGGCGUAGUCGAUGGGAAACGGGUUAAUAUUCCCGUACUUGGUGUUACUGCGAAGGGGGGACGGAGAAGGCUAUGUUGGCCGGGCGACGGUUGUCCCGGUUUAAGCGUGUAGGUGUGUGUUCCAGGUAAAUCCGGUUCACUUUAAC
rnacentral:rRNA from 1 species